ACGACAUUUACUAUGGGUUUACCAUAGUAACCAUAGUUUUACUCUGGUAUUUGUAGUUACUAACACACAAUAACCACGACAUUUACUAUGGGUUUACCAUAGUAACCAUGGUUUUACUCUGGUAUUUGUAGUUACUAACACACAGUAACCACGACAUUUACUAUGGGUUUACCAUAGUAACCAUAGUUUUACUCUGGUAUUUGUAUUUACUAACACACAAUAACCACGACAUUUACUAUGGGUUUACCAUAGUAACCAUAGUUUUACUCUGGUAUUUGUAGUUACUAACACACAAUAACCACGACAUUUACUAUGGGUUUACCAUAGUAACCAUAGUUUUACUCUGGUAUUUGUAGUUACUAACACACAAUAACCACAACACUUACCAGGAUUUUACCACAGUAACUGUGUUUUUACUCUACACUAUUUGUAAAGCACAGUAACCACUAAGUUUGCCAUGCCUUUAAUAUCUUUUUGUGAUGUAAUUGUAAUUCAGUGUUUUUUCUGUCUUGCAGUUACGUCGGAUUACAUACUCCACAACAACCUGUAAUCCAGCAGAUCUUUAAAGAAGCCAUCUCUUGUAAAAUCUCUCUCUCUCUCUCUCUCUCUCUCUCUCUCUCUCUCUCUCUCUCUCUCUCUCUCUCUCUCUCUCUCUCUCUCUCUCUCUCUCUCUCUCUCGCUCUGCUAGAAUUAACAGGGAACUUCAACUCCACGCUCCCAAUGCUGAUAUUGAAGAAGCUGUCAAGGGGGCUGAACAAGUCCUUCAAAGGAUCAACCCUUCACAGGAAGGCCUGUCAUGUGAUUUGAAUUUGACCAUCUUGUGCAUUUAUGAAGAAGACCAAAAGCUGCAAAGGCAAACACUUCCAAUGUACAUGAUAUCUGUCCACACCUCAUAGUCUGCCUUUCUUUCUAUGGUGAUGUUACUGAACACAUCUGUCUUAGAAGCAAGAGAAUGGAAAUCCUAGUUUAACUUUUCAAGUGCUACAAAUCAGAUCUUCAAUGAAUUUGGGCAAUCAGAUCACUUAAAGUUGUUCACACAAAGACCAAUAACUAUAAUGAGAAGUAUUUUAGCAUCCACACCAACAGACAAUACUGUUCUCUUAAAUCUCUUAAAUGUUCCCCUCAUUCUGUUAAAUUUAUACACAAAAUUCUGCCUUUCUCUGCCUUUUUCACUUCAUCUUCAUGCUGUACUCCCUCACUCACACAUUCUUUUAUGCUCUGUUGUAAGGCAGAAACUGAGAGUUUGCAUGAUGGUAUUUUCUCAGACGCUGAAUCUGAUGUGUACAGAUGAACUCAGGAGCCUACUAGAGUUGCCAAGGAACUUGUGCUUGAACUGAAGACCAGAAACGCAAAGAAAAUCAGUCAAACCAGUCCUAAAGAAAUGAGGAAUGAACAUGGACUUCUUGUGCCCCAAAAGAAAAGACAGAAAGCUCCUAAAAUGAGCAGAUAAGCUGUGCAUCAUCUCUGUGAUUUGGGAAGGAAAUGACUGAAUAUGAUGAAGCCAGAUGAUGAAGAUAUCGAUUGAAUGGCCACCGAGUGCAUCACUGCUACCUGAACCCAUCAGUUAUCUGCUGUGAAGACUGCAUUCACAAACCGCUCUACUGCGACAGCUCAGAUGUUACGGCCUGUAAAAGUAAACAUCACAGCUAAACAACGAGAGCUAGUUGUGGUGGGAUUCUUUUGGCCAAUAUCCCCAACAAGAAUCAAUGACAUCUAGACCAGGUGGAGUGUGAGGAGGACCGUCAGAGACUCCAGCCAGCCGAGCCAUGGAUUGCUCUCACUGUUACCAUCAGGCAGACGUUAUCAUAGAAUCUACACCAGCAGACAGUGAGACAAGUUCCUUUCACAGGCAAUCAGACUGAACUGAACUCAUACCAGUAAAACCAUACACACCCCACCAACCUCAUAUGCCCUGCACUCUUAUCAGUUAUGCUGACUGGACUCAAUAUUAUUAUGCACCUUGACAUUCUGUUUGCACUAAUUCAUACCGUGCUUUACUGCAGAGAUGUAUGUGUACUGUGAUUAUUAUUGUUUUCAAUUCAUGCUCUUUGUAUAGCAUAAUUUUUAACAUAUAUUGUUCUCUACCUGAAUUGAGUCCCUUAUAUAUGUGUGUUGCAUAUAUAUAUAUAUAUAUAUAUAUAUAUAU